AGACUUUCGAUGAAGCUUUUCCCCCUAAGAAAAGGAAGUUUCGAUCCAUCUCCGCUCUUUAUCAGGUUACAAAACCUUUGAUCCUUAAGAAUAACCAUCGUAAGUUUAAAUCCAGGAAGUAAAUACAUAUAUUCCCCCCCCCCCCCCCCCCCCCCCAAAAUUUUUUUUUUCCCCUUUUUUUUUUUUUUUUUUAUUUUUUUUUUUUUNNNNNNNNNNNNNNNNNNNNNNNNNNNNNNNNNNNNNNNNNNNNNNNNNNNNNNNNNNNNNNNNNNNNNNNNNNNNNNNNNNNNNNAAAAAAAAAAUUAAGGAAAAAGAGAUGUAAAACAUUUUGUGUAUACUAACAAUUUCAAUAAAUGUUGACAAGUACUUGUUUUGUAGAUAUUUUUGGUGUAGCAUAUAGGGUUGUUAUCCUUUAGGCUUUUAACUAACUGAAUGUUCAUCUGUGCUUUUGUUUCUUUGGUUGGAUCGGGGUCUGGCCGUUUGGGGGAGGGGGGUUCAAAUGGGGGAGAUUCUCGUGUGUUCUAGUAUAUAUUGUUAAGUUUGCAGUUUGAACAAACGUUCUGGAAAAUAAAAUCAAAAUACUUGAAGGUUAAUUUGAAUUGCAUGUGUUAUUGGUUUGAAAAUUAGUUUAGUGAUGAAUAUUAUAGUACGCUACAUGAAUUAAAAGCCAAUCUAGAAGGCAUAUGUAAAUUUGGACGAAGUAAAGUUGGUUCAAGAAAAUUGAUCAAGUCAACAAAUGUAUCAAGUUAGUUAAUUCUUUUAUUUUAAUUCUGCUUUUGUCGUUUUAUCUGUGAAUUCUUUCUUUUAAUUUGUGGUUGGAGUUCGAGUUCGAUCAACAAUAUAAUGAUCCGUUUCAUAGCUCACUUUUUUCUCAAUUCAUGUCUGCCCCGGCGCACCUCCUACAACUUUUAAUUAAUAAUAGCUAAGGCUUCCAUUUGUAUGUAUUACUAUCGUUUAAUAUGAUUCAAUUUCUCGUUUUGCGAUUCACUAGCUAGCUAGCCAAACACGCAUAAUACAUUCUAAAGUUGGGAGCAUCCAACAAGUUCUUGCCACUACUCGAGGAGUAAUAUAUCUCGAUAGGAUGCAACAUCUUCCAUUCAUAUUCCAACACCUUAAGUGUAAACUAUGCCACCCUAGAACAUUGUAUUUUGUUAGUAUAAUUUUUGAAUAUUUCUCCAAUUAUCUCGAUGUAGAGAAAAUAACGCAUUAUAUGUUCUCAUCUUAUAUUUAUUCACCUUUCGGGUAGAGCUAUGAGGUACUUAUAUUAGUGUGAGGUAGUACUUAUAUGAUGAAAUAAGCUGGCUAGGAGACAUUAAUGUUUUAUUUUGUUUUUGCUUUUCGGACAUAAAUCAUGGGCCAAGUUAUUUUGACGCACGGAGAAAGAGAAGGUAGGAAUUCCUUAUGCAUGCGUAACAAUAAUUUUUUUUUUUGUUUCUUCUAUAGACUUUAAACUCGUGUGGUUUAUGUCUCCUUAUCAUUGUUUGGAAGGAGUACUUGUCGAUUGAGAAGCAAAGCUCUUGUUACUAUAAUGUAUCGUAUCGUGACAAACUAUGGAAUAAAUCUUUUUCAACUGAUGUUUAAUAUGUGACAUGUGCUUCCCACUCCUUGCGGAGAAGAAAAAGAGAGGGUAUAAAAUCACUUCACAAAAGCAUGGUGAUUGACGGAAUGAUAACUCCAUUCUUAACAUCUUAAUUAUAGAUUCCGCCUUGAGAAAUGACACACAGUUUAUUGAUCAAAUCGUUCAACACGAUAGUUUUCACUUUUGAUUGAGAAAGUAAAAUAUCAUAGGUAACACCAAUGUCGACUGUUGUUUGAAGUAGAAAGAUGAUACUGAAAACGAAGUACAUGUAAUUGCAGUAUAUGUAAUAGUUUAAAUUUGGAAUGCAUGCUCACCUUUCUAAGUUGCCGACAUUGUAUAUCAUCAAGUAACCUUACGUAAUUAGGAAGAUUUUUUCCUAGUCGGAGGAGUCGCUCUAAUGCUACUUAGUUUCUAUUAUACCUUUUGUUUUCUUGAGAUAAUUUAGUGGACUCCUCAAUACAAAAAGGGAAAAAGAGAAGAGGAGAAGCCUG
rnacentral:lncRNA from 1 species